UACGUAGGGCGCAAGCGUUAUCCGGAAUUAUUGGGCGUAAAGAGCUCGUAGGCGGUUUGUCGCGUCUGCCGUGAAAGUCCGGGGCUCAACUCCGGAUCUGCGGUGGGUACGGGCAGACUAGAGUGAUGUAGGGGAGACUGGAAUUCCUGGUGUAGCGGUGAAAUGCGCAGAUAUCAGGAAGAACAUCUGUGGCGAAGGCGGCUUGCUGGGCCAGUACUGACGCUGAGGGACGAAAGCGUGGGGAGCAAACGGG
rnacentral:rRNA from 1 species